GGGUGGUGCUCUGGGCGGCGGGGCCAGUGGGGCAGGCAGAGGCACAAGCUGGGGCAGUUGCUGUUCCCCGGAGAUGGCGUCUAUGGCGGCGGCGAUCGCGGCGUCGCGCUCAGCAGUUAUGAGUGGGAACCGACCUCUGGACGACAGGGAACGGAAGCGUUUCACCUACUUCUCAUCGCUGAGCCCCAUGGCCAGGAAGAUCAUGCAGGACAAAGAGAAGAUCCGCGAGAAAUAUGGGCCCGAGUGGGCGCGGCUGCCGCAAGCGAAGCAGGAUGAAAUCAUUGACCGGUGUCUGGUGGGAGCGGGCGCUCGGACGACCGGCGACUGCGCGGAGCAGGUGGACACCGAGAUGCUCACGCUCUUUCCUGGCCUGCGUGGACCCACCGGCCAGAAGGUGGUGCGUUUCGGGGACGAGGACAUAACUUGGCAAGAUGAACACUCUGCCCCUUUCUCCUGGGAAACAAGGAGUCAGAUGGAGUUUAGCAUCUCGUCCUUAUCCAUCCAAGAACCAAGUAAUGGCACUACAACCAGUGAGCUGAGGCAACUGUCCAAAGCUCCUCAGGGUUCUCAAGCCCUCCGACCCUUCCAGGGUGGCAAGUCUUCCAGCCUGGAUGUUCUCGGUCCUGUAUGGAAGGAAGAAGAAGCCUCUUUCUGGAAAAUCAAUGCAGAGCGAUCCCGGGGGGAGGGACCUGAGGCCGAGUUCCAGUCACUGACCCCCAGCCAGAUCAAGUCCAUGGAGAAAGGUGAAAAGGUUUUGCCUACCUGUUAUAGGCAGGAUCCCGCCCUGAGGGACAGGGAGACCAAGGCAGAAAGACCAAGCAACCUGCACCAAGAGCAGCAUGUUCUUCCCAGCACCAUCUUGGAGCAUGAGAAACCCCAGGCCAUUCAGACCUGCACUAACACAUUGAAUGAAGAUGUUGAAGCUGGAUUGAAGCUGCCAUCUUUAAAGGCCAGCCAGGAGGAUGUGGAAGAACCUCUGUUCUCUGAACCUAUAUCUGCACAGAUACAGGAAAACUGGACCUGGGGUAGGAUUUAGGAGAUACUGCUUCAUCUAUUAACUUGCCUUUAUCUAUUUUGCCAGCUGUGCAGCAGGCAAAGUUUUCUUGCAACCCACCAGGUCACCUCAAGUAAUGUUGUUUUGAAGACGGGAUUUGAUUUUCUGGACAACUGGUAAAAUAUCUUAGACCAAAAAACAUGUAAAGAAAACCAAGAAUCCUAAUUUUUUUUCCAAAAUAGUGUGGUGGAGGUCAAAAGAAUAAUUUUACUGAUUUUUGUAUACCCUUUUCUUAAAUCAUUUGAAAAAUGGUAAAUGUUGCCUUGUCAUAGUUUCUAGAUUCUCUCUCUCUCUUUUUUUUUUUGUGAGAGAAUAUAUAUGCUAUUUUUAAUGGUUUUAUAACAGAAGUUUUACAUUUGGAAUUUUUAAAGACUCAUUGGAAUUCAGUAGAUCUUACUAUAAUUUUUUUUAAAUAAUAAAACAUUUUUUUCUUUUUAUGUCAUAUCUGGAGCCUCCUGUAUGCAAUUUCAUUGCUCAUUACUGACAUUCAUUAUUAUAGAGACACAUAGUCAUUCUAGAGAGACACCAUAGUACUAUACUUUCACCCAGUGUUAUGGUCCUCCCUUGCAUUCUUGGGGUUCAAACCUGGGCCACAUUCAUGGCAAGGCACAUACCCAACCCAUGAACUGUCUCUCAACCCCUAAAUAAAACUUAUGUCCCUGGGGACUUGGAGAUGACUCAUUUAAUAGAGCACACAAUUUAUCAUUUGUGAUGACCUAGGAUCAAGCCUCUGGCUACCACUUGGGAACACCUAGAUAAACACAUGGAUAAAUUUUCACAAGUGGUAGAGCAGUGCUGUGGUAGCUCUUCUCUCUCUCUCUCUGGAAAAAUAUUAUACACACACACAUAUAAUUGUCCACUGGGAACAGAAGAAUGAUGCAAACACAGAUCCCUAGCCAUACCCCUUGUAACAAAGAAAAAAAAAUCUUUUCUCAACUCUAGUUUCCCCCUUUCUCAGUGAAAGUGUUCUCAAUUAUGGCACAAAAAAAUGUAAGCCAUUUAUAUCUCCUUUAUUCCCUCUGCUUAAAAAACAGUGUAUAAAGUUUCUUGGUUGAUUGUUGGUAAUGACAUUAAGGGGCAGUGGUAGCACACAGGACUUGUAUUUGAGAAUUCCCAGGUUUAAUGUCUGGUAUCUCACUAUCCAAGUUGAGUUCUCUGGUUAAAAACAAAACAAAAUUGAUAUUGGCACACUAACUAUGAUUAUGGAAAGUUUUGAUCCCCAAGCAAUCUUACAUGACACUCCUAACUGCCUUUGGCUUCCUUGCUGAAACCACAUCUCUUAAAUUAUGUGCCACCAUUAUGCCAUUUCUGGGAAACAAACUGCUAGUACAUGGCAUUGAUUGUUUUUAAACUACUCUGAUACCUAAACUAUUCAUAAUUGUUUAAAAAGAUUUGCUUAACAGUUUUUUAUUAACCUUCUUCUUUUUUAAAAUUUAGAUUUAGCAGCUAUAGGGUUCUUAUUUUUCUUAGGUUUGUACUCCUUUCCUUUUGGAAAUCCUUUGCUACUUACUUGGCCUAUGAGAUGACAAUCUGUUCUGGGCAUCUAAAGGAAUCUGGGCAGAUGUUUUCUGCUUAGUUGUGUUUAAACUUUCCAGCAUGUGACUGAUGGGUGGUGGAUAGCCUUCAUCCCAAGAAUGGUCAAGCUUCAUCACAGUGGACCCUCUCCCAACCCUAACUACCAGGAGUUGAAGAGGAUUCUGUUUUUGCAGCACCCCAGCAGCACUCCUGAAGACCUUUGUUAUACUGACAUCUAAAGCUGGACUUGGCUUCCCACUUACUGCUCUGGUGAUGGAACAGAGCCAAGUGAACUGUUGGAAGUCUAUGCUCUAUCCUGAGCUGGCCAAGCCUGCAGGCUGUGCCCAAAUAUGAUCUACGCAUUGCUUCUCACUGUGUUUUCCUCACCUUAAGCCUUAAUCCCUGAAAAUCCUGCUAGUAACACCUAUACCAGUAUCCAAGUGUGUAUUUUUUUUUUAAAAAAGCCUUUAUUUUUCAUUAACUCUUUUGAAAUGGGUUUUAGAAUAUUUUAUCAUGCUCCAAGAUAAAAACUCACAGCAAUGCCUUUUUCUAGUAAAAUUUCUGCCAAAACUGUGACUUAAGAUAACUUCUAGCUUGGUUCCUGCACAAUUGGUUUUUUUUCCCUAAACUUUAUUUGGACCCUCAAGGGUCUUAAAUUUUAUCUUCUGCCUUUGGUGACUGUAUCAUGGCAACUCCAGUUCAUUUUUGUACUGUUUAAGAAUAAUUAAUCCAUAUAAGGGUCAAACAUUUUCUAGAAUGACAACGCAGAAAAUAGCAGCCUAGAAAUCAUAACUAAACAUCAUGGCAGGAUGUCAUACCCCAGCCCGAGUGAUCCUACACUAGAUAGCAGGGUCCCAUAAAAGAUAAAGGGAGGGAAAAAAUGAGAGAGGUGAGGGAAGGAAGAGAGAGAAGGGAGAAGAAAAAUUAUGCAGCUGUGAGUUGUAUUCCUUGUUGUCUUAUGAUUGUCUUAGGAUAAAUAAGCCCUCAGUAGCCGAUCUGUUUUGUUUUUGGAAGAUGGUUGUAAUUUCUUUUCCACUUUCUCAUAAAGCCCAACAUUCCCUUCAGCCCUUGCAAGCUAAGGGGGUGAAGUACCAUUGAAAGCUUCUGAUCUGGGGCCUAAUAUCUGGCAUUGUUUAGUUAUCUCUUACAGUAAUGCUUGAAAAUUCAUUGUGGCACUGCCUUCUAAAGAUUAAAUGUGAAAUAAAAAUUUGGGAUGUUGGGGUGGGGGGGGUCAAAAAAUUUGGGAUGUUUUAGAGGGAGUUCUAAAGUUGUGUUAUUCUACCCUGAUUCUGGAAAUAAAUGAGUGUGAGGAGCUUGGAAGGUGUGUGCUCAUGGGUCUUCAUCUCAUCUGACCUGUCGAUCUCCUUUUAACACCUGAUGUCAAAUUGAAAGCAGUUCCUUUACCAUCUUCCUGAGAAACAAUGUUCAGUAUGUCCAAGAAAGUGUGUCCUUUUUGUUUUUUGUUUUGUUUUGUUCCUCCCAAUACUCAUGUAUUAGAAUGGAAUUUAUGUUUAUUAUUUUAAAAUAUACUUUCCAGCGGAGUCUUGCAUUUGGUUUUAGAUUUCCUCUCCUCCGCCUCCUACAUGCACAUCUGGGAUAUGUGUAUCUAGUAUCUGGGAUUCAGCUCAAGAAUUCAACAUCUAGCUUUGAGUGGCAGUAUUUUGCAAAAUCUUUACCAGGAGAUCAGGAAUCAAUCUCAAGUUAUUUGACUUGUGGGUUCUUCCUCCUGUUCUCUGAAUUUGUGUGUGUGAUCCUCCAAUGAAACAACAGGUAACCUACCCUUUGUUACACCCAUGUGGCUGUCAGAGCAGCUUCCUUUUCUGUAUAAAUAUUUUUUAAAUGAAAUGUUCUUACUAUUUGUAACUUGGUUGUAUUUUAUAUUAAUAACCUUUAAUAAAGCCAUUUAUAAUAUUCUA